rnacentral:rRNA from 1 species
AGCGAACGCUGGCGGCAGGCUUAACACAUGCAAGUCGAGCGGGCAUCCUUGUGGUGUCAGCGGCAGACGGGUGAGUAACGCGUGGGAACGUGCCCUUCGGUUCGGAAUAACUCAGGGAAACUUGAGCUAAUACCGGAUACGUGCGAGAGCAGAAAGGUUUAUCUGCCGAAGGAUCGGCCCGCGUCUGAUUAGCUAGUUGGUGAGGUUACGGCUCACCAAGGCUACGAUCAGUAGCUGGUCUGAGAGGAUGAUCAGCCACACUGGGACUGAGACACGGCCCAGACUCCUACGGGAGGCAGCAGUGGGGAAUAUUGGACAAUGGGGGCAACCCUGAUCCAGCCAUGCCGCGUGAGUGAUGACGGCCUUAGGGUUGUAAAGCUCUUUUCUCCGGGACGAUAAUGACGGUACCGGAGGAAUAAGCCCCGGCUAACUUCGUG